rnacentral:rRNA from 1 species
AGUGGCGGACGGGUGAGUAACGCGUAGGAAUCUGCCUGUUAGUGGGGGACAACGUGGGGAAACCCACGCUAAUACCGCAUACGCCCUACGGGGGAAAGGAGGGGAUCUUCGGACCUUUCGCUAACAGAUGAGCCUGCGUUAGAUUAGCUAGUUGGUAGGGUAAAGGCCUACCAAGGCGACGAUCUAUAGCUGGUCUGAGAGGACGAUCAGCCACACUGGGACUGAGACACGGCCCAGACUCCUACGGGAGGCAGCAGUGGGGAAUAUUGGACAAUGGGCGAAAGCCUGAUCCAGCAAUACCGCGUGUGUGAAGAAGGCCUUAGGGUUGUAAAGCACUUUCAAUUGGGAGGAAAACCUACCGGUCAAUACCCGGUAGCUUGACAUUACCUUUAGAAGAAGCACCGGCUAACUCCGUGCCAGCAGCCGCGGUAAUACGGAGGGUGCGAGCGUUAAUCGGAAUUACUGGGCGUAAAGCGUGCGUAGGCGGUUCGUUAAGUCAGAUGUGAAAGCCCUGGGCUCAACCUGGGAACUGCAUUUGAAACUGGCGGACUAGAGUUUAGUAGAGGGGAGUGGAAUUUCAGGUGUAGCGGUGAAAUGCGUAGAUAUCUGAAGGAACACCAGUGGCGAAGGCGACUCCCUGGACUAGAACUGACGCUGAGGUACGAAAGCGUGGGUAGCAACAGGAUUAGAUACCCUGGUAGUCCACGCCGUAAACGAUGUCGACUAGCCGU